rnacentral:lncRNA from 1 species
CCGUCCCGUCUGUCACCCCCACCCCAAGCCCCGCGUGGGGCUGCAGUGGAGAAGGGGCUGGUGGGUGAAGCCCUGGGCGGAGGUUCCCCCACCCUCCUCGCCCCCCCACCCCCGCCUUCCCAGGCCCUGCACUUGCCACUUUCCACCAGCCUGGUGCAGCCCCUGGUCUCAUCCUCACUGUGGGGUGCGGCCCGGCGGCCAGGAGGCCGGCUGGCGUUUCCUGUGCAUGCCAGCGAGGGCACCGCCGAGGCCCCAAGCUCCCACUCUGGCUCCAGUCCCUCCUCCCUCGGCGGUCCACCUGUACCUUCACGUCCUGACUGCUCAGCCUCAGCUGGGCUGCCUCCCAGGGACUCCAAGGCGGAUGUCCGGGUGAGCAGAGGUGAGGCCGGCCCAGGAGGGGCCCCAGAGGCCUCUGCAUCAUCUUCCUGCAAGCUUGCAGGCUCCGCCCCCUCCCCCCCUGGGGGGGGGGCACAGGACCGGCAGGAAGCAAAGGCUCCAGGAGCAUUGCCCGCCCAGCAGGGGAGGCAGGGCCAGUGGAACCUGCUCCCGGCCCUGCACCCCAAGCCCUUGCAGUGCGGGGGAAGAGAGAGGAGAGCAAGUCCCUGCCCACGGUGGAGGGGUGGCACCCGCUGGCGUGCAGGGAGAGAAGCAGGUGUUUGUGGGAGAAUCCAAGACCCCCACACCCACAGGCAUCAGGAUGCCAAGGUCGUGCUCCAACGCCCACAGCUGGCCGGGUUCCAGGGUCCUCACGCGAUGCCAGGGGCUCUGCCGCCGGCCCCGCCCCCAGGACCCCGCUCUGUCCGCUGGCACCCGGCCCCUCCUCCUGGUUCGUGGGGUGAACCUGCAGACAGGAGAUUUCUGUCUGUCUGUCUGUCCCCCUCUCUGAAAAGAUUUGAAGCUGGUCUGGUGUGGCCGACUCUGCACCUUCUGUCCUGUGAGUCGAUCAUGGCAGAGAGCUGGCGCGCGGGAGACUGGAGCAGGCCGGGGCAGAGGCAGAGCUGGGGGACCCUGGGGGGAAGGGAGCGGGAUCGUUUUUGCAUCACAACUGCUGUUCCAAGUGGAUUGUGUGCUGCCUUCAUUAAAAAGACUUUGUUAAAAAGAAAAUAUGUGGAGCCCCUGUCCGUCCCAGCACAGAACAUCAGGUUCAACCAGCGGGAGCGCAGCGAGAGGGGCCUGCGCCAGCGUCGCCGGGCUCCCACCGUCGCUGCCUCCGGCCACUCCUGCCUCAGCUCUGGGUUUACCUCGGGAGCCACGGGGGCUCGGGGCGGGGGAAUCUUGCCUACUCUCAGGGAACAGCGCUCCCAAACCUCAAGGCAGCUUUCCGGCUUCCCCUCUCAGCUGCUUUAUGGACAGCCUCUCUGACCCCU